rnacentral:rRNA from 1 species
UACGGAGGGGGCGAGCGUUAUUCGGAAUUAUUGGGCGUAAAGGGCGCGUAGGCGGCCUUCUAAGUCGAACGUGAAAUCCCUGGGCUCAACCCAGGAACUGCGUCCGAUACUGGAAGGCUUGAAUCCGGGAGAGGGAUGCGGAAUUCCAGGUGUAGCGGUGAAAUGCGUAGAUAUCAAGCGGAACACCGGUGGCGAAGGCGGCCUUCUGGACAGUGACUGACGCUGAGAUGCGAAAGCGUGGGGAGCAAACAGG